CCUCUCUCAUCUCUUCUCCUCUCCUCCAAGGUGCCUCCGUUUCCUCCACUCCUCAGCUCUCCACCCUUCCUCUCUCUCUUCUCUUCUCCUCCAGGGGCCUCUGUUUCUUCCUCUGCUCACUGUGUCCGAACCAUUGCAGUCUUCUCACUACAACAGAAUAAAUUAGAGAGAAAACAACAUUAAAAUCUACUACACAGACAGACACUUAGUAAACAGAAAAGCUUAGAGGAAACAACAUUAGAGAGUGACAAAGCUGCCCUACAGUAUUAGUUUCUGUACGUAAAGUUUCUAGACGUAAUAUUCUGCCGUUGGUGGAAUUUCUGGCUACGAUUCAUUGCCGAGAGAGCUGGGAUGUUAGUGUUCAGUGACUUGCUUCCUGGAGAACAGAAUGCCUUGCUGAAAUAGUGACAGCUGCCCUACAGGAUUAGUUUCAGUAGUUUUCCUCACCCCUGUGCUGUCCCAAUCCCUUCUGCAAGAGUUAACCAGCAUCUUCAUUCACUCACCCCUGUGCUGUCCCAAUCCCUUCUGCAAGAGUUAACCAGCAUCUUCAUUCACUCACCCCUGUGCUGUCCCAAUCCCUUCUGCAAGAGUUAACCAGCAUCUUCAUUCACUCACCCCUGUACUGUCCCAAUCCCUUCUGCAAGAGUUAACCAGCAUCUUCAUUCUUUCAUUCCCAUAUAAUAUACUGUCAAGGGAGAUAUAAUGGCACAAACAGUAUUCAAAUAUUUAUGGAUACGAAACAAAUAUUACCAAAACUAAAUACAUACUUUUAUAUAAGGUAAUAUUUCAACUUGUAUCAAUAUUACUAAUUCUUAAGACACUGUUUAUGUAAGGAGAAACUAAUGUAUGUGUCCUGGAUAUUAUUAUUAGUUGUUAAGGCAUUUAUACAAGGAGGAAUUACUGGAGAAAUUACUGUACAUGUUCUGCCUAGGCUUAAGAGUUCCAUGUGAAGAGUAUUUUGAGGAGUGAAGAAAGAUAUUUGUGGUAAUGUGACUUGUUUGUAAUGUUGCUGAGGUGUUGAUGGUAAAGACUAAACCAUUAUUUUUAUAGAGACAGAAAUUGAAUGUGUGUGUGUGUGUGUGUGUGUGUGUGUGUGUGUGUGUGUGUGUGUGUGUGAGUGAGUGAGUGAGGAUUGUCGUAAAACAUUGUCAUUGGUUAACUUUGUAUAUGAACUGUGAAGGCUGAAUGUUGAAAUAGAUCUGAAUGCAUUAUAUACUGGAGAAAUUACUGUAUGUGUUCUGCCUGGGUAAAGAGUUCCAUGUGAAGAGUAUUUUGAGGAGUGAAGAAAGAUGUUUGUGGUAAUGUGACUUGUUUGUAAUGUUGCUGAGGUGUUUAUGGUAAAGAUUAAACCAUUAUUUUUAUAGAGACAGAAAUUGAAUGUGUGUGUGAGUGUGUGUGUGUGUGUCUGUGUGUGAGUGAGUGAGGAUUCUCUUAAAACAUUGUCAUUAGUUAACUCUGUAUAUGAACUGUGAAGGGUGAAUGUUGAAAUAGAUCUGAAUGCAUUAUAUACUGGAGAAAUUACUGUAUGUGUUAUGCCUGGGUAAAGAGUUCCAUGAGGAGUGAGGAAAGAUAUUUGUUGUAAUGUGACUUGUUUGUAAUGUUGCUGAGGUGUUUAUGGUAAAGACUAAACCAUUAUUUUUAUAGAGACAGAAUUUGAAUGUGUGUGUGUGUGUGUGUGUGUGUGUGUGUGUGUGAGGAUUCUCUUAAAACAUUGUCAUUAUUUGUCUUUGUAUAUGAACACAUUCUCAAACCUUUUAUAAUUUCUCAUGAUAUCAGUAUAAUGUAAGUAUUGUAUUAAGUAUCUCCUCAAAUUGUUCUCAAGUAUUAUGAUAAAUUUUGAAGCUGUACAAGGAGAGAGAGAGAAAGUUUACCUGGCCCUAAGACCUUCAAGGGAGAGUGUGUGUUAUAGUCUGUUCACUUAAGUCCGAGCCAAGCUGACAACAUAAACCUAAGCGUGUUUGCAAGCUGAGUGCUGAUUGGCUGCUGCUGUGGCUUCCAAGUUUUCUUUAACCCGGUAGCUGCAGGGAUCAUGUUUCUUAAAGGCCCCUCUAAGCGAAUUAAUGAGAAAAAAUCAUCACUCAUGCAAACCAUUUCAUAAUAUAUAUAAAAGCAUUUGUGAUCAGUUUAUGCAUCAUCUAUUUUGGGGGGUUUUAUAUCAUGCAUGGCAAAAAUUUGGCCCGUCGCUGGUACACGGUAAAGCCACAAAUUUGGCCCGUCACUGGUACCGGGUUAACCUCUGUUUGUGUUUAUCUCACGCAGCACUUUCUGCACUGUGCUUACAAACAUGCUUAGCUUUACGUUGUCAGCUUGGGGCAGACUUAAGUGAACAGACUAUAGACAGUUCCAGCAGUUACAAAUGACAGGGGCCACGUGGUAUCUACAGCGCUGAGAGAGAGUUAGGAAUGGUUAUGAUAGUUGUGAUGGUUUGGUCAUGUUACCGCUCUGACGGUGAUAUAUAUAUAUAUUUGUAUACAUAGAGCAAGAAAAAUAAAAAAUGAAUGUGAUAAUGAA